GAGUUUGAUCCUGGCUCAGAACGAACGCUGGCGGCAUGCCUAACACAUGCAAGUCGAACGAAGGCUUCGGCCUUAGUGGCGCACGGGUGCGUAACGCGUGGGAAUCUGCCCUUUGCUUCGGAAUAACAGUGGGAAACUACUGCUAAUACCGGAUGAUGUCUUCGGACCAAAGAUUUAUCGGCAAGGGAUGAGCCCGCGUAGGAUUAGGUAGUUGGUGGGGUAAAGGCCUACCAAGCCGACGAUCCUUAGCUGGUCUGAGAGGAUGAUCAGCCACACUGGGACUGAGACACGGCCCAGACUCCUACGGGAGGCAGCAGUGGGGAAUAUUGGGCAAUGGGGGAAACCCUGAUCCAGCGACGCCGCGUGGGUGAUGAAGGCCUUCGGUUGUAAGCCUUUCGUCCACGAUGAUGAUGACAGUAGUGGAAGAAGAAGACUCCGGCUAACUUCGUGCCAGCAGCCGCCGU
rnacentral:rRNA from 1 species